rnacentral:pre_miRNA from 1 species
UGUCUGGGGCAGCGUGGAAGACUAGUGAUUUUGUUGUUCUAAGUGUCAGAGAUGACAACAAAUCGCGGUCUCCCACUCUGCACCACGACC